rnacentral:rRNA from 1 species
AUUGAACGCUGGCGGAAUGCUUUACACAUGCAAGUCGAACGGCAGCACGGGUGCUUGCACCUGGUGGCGAGUGGCGAACGGGUGAGUAAUAUAUCGGAACGUAUCCAAUAAUGGGGGAUAACUAAUCGAAAGGUUGGCUAAUACCGCAUACGUCCUACGGGAGAAAGCAGGGGACCUUCGGGCCUUGCGUUAAUGGAGCGGCCGAUAUCUGAUUAGCUAGUAGGUGAGGUAAAGGCUCACCUAGGCGACGAUCAGUAGCUGGUCUGAGAGGACGACCAGCCACACUGGAACUGAGACACGGUCCAGACUCCUACGGGAGGCAGCAGUGGGGAAUUUUGGACAAUGGGCGCAAGCCUGAUCCAGCCAUUCCGCGUGAGUGAAGAAGGCCUUCGGGUUGUAAAGCUCUUUCGCAAGGGAAGAAACGAUACAGUCUAAUAAACUGUGUUAAUGACGGUACCUUGAUAAGAAGCACCGGCUAACUACGUGCCAGCCGCCGCAGUAACAC